UACACUUUGGAGUUGGGCACUCUAAAGAGACUGCCGGUGUCAAACCGGAGGAAGGUGGGGAUGACGUCAAGUCCUCAUGGCCUUUAUGACCAGGGCUACACACGUACUACAAUGGCCGGUACAAAGGGCAGCGACACAGCGAUGUGAAGCGAAUCCCGAAAAGCCGGUCUCAGUCCGGAUUGGAGUCUGCAACUCGACUCCAUGAAGUUGGAAUCGCUAGUAAUCGCGGAUCAGCACGCCGCGGUGAAUACGUUCCCGGGCCUU
rnacentral:rRNA from 1 species